AAUGAACGCUGGCGGCGUGCCUAAUACAUGCAAGUCGAGCGGCCGGACGAGAAGCUCGUGCCCCUAAGGUUAGCGGCGGGCGGGCGAGUAACACAUGGAUAACCUACUUCUAUGUCUGGGGUAAUUACGGGAAAAAAGAGAUACUACCGGCGCAUACUUUGUACGGGAGAGAGCAGAAGAGAUUGACAGUUUUGCUGUUUCUUAUAGAUGGUUCCGCGCUAGAUUAGCUAGUUGGUAAGGUAACGGCAUACCAAGGCGACGAUGCGUAGCCGACCUGAGAGGAUGAUCGGCCACACUGGAACUGAGACACGGUCCAGACUCCUACGGGAGGCAGCAGUAGGGAAUAUUCCGCAAUGGGCGAAAGCCUGACGGAGCAAUGCCGCGUGAGUGAUGAAGGCCUUCGGGUCGUAAAGCUCUUUUAUUGGGAAAGAAAAUCAGUGGAUGUAUCCGUGGACAUCCUGACGGUACCUAAUCAAUAAGCCCCGGCUAACUUCGUG
rnacentral:rRNA from 1 species